rnacentral:rRNA from 1 species
GAUGAACGCUGGCGGCGUGCUUAACACAUGCAAGUCGAACGAAGCGCUUAGAUCUCUUCGGAGUGAUGAGUGACUGAGUGGCGGACGGGUGAGUAACGCGUGGGUAACCUGCCUCGUACAGGGGGACAGCCUUCCGAAAGGGAGAUUAAUACCGAAUAACAUGAUGUUUUUGCAUGAUUUCAUCAUGAAAGCUCCGGCGAUGAAGGAUGGGGAUGCGUUUCAUUAGGUAGUAGGCGGGGUAACGGCCCACCUAGCCAACGAUGAAUAGGGGUUCUGAGAGGAAGGUCCCCCACACUGGAACUGAGACACGGUCCAG